rnacentral:rRNA from 1 species
CUGUACCUACGGGGGGCAGCAGUAGGGAAUCUUCCACAAUGGACGAAAGUCUGAUGGAGCAACGCCGCGUGAGUGAAGAAGGGCUUCGGCUCGUUAAGCUCUGUUGGUAGAGAAGAAAGAUAGAGGUAGUAACUGGCCUUUUUUUGACGGUAAUUACUUAGAAAGUCACGGCUAACUACGUGCCAGCAGCCGCGGUAAUACGUAGGGGGCAAGCGUUGUCCGGAUUUAUUGGGCGUAAAGCG